GAGAGAUGUGUGAUGGGUGAUCCAACGGUGGAUUCGCGCGAAGGAAGGUGAAUCCUUCUUUCGCGCGAAAGAUACAACCCCGAUCCACAGCGUGCGGACGACUCCUCCUCCCCGAUCACCGACGGGGGCGAGGAAACCUAGCCUCCGCCGGCUAUUUAAUCUCCCCCACGGUCCCCUGAGAAGCACAGCACCCCUCGCCCUCUCCACCUCCUCCUCGCUGCCCGUGAUCGGUCCGGCGAUUCAGCCUGCUCCGCUGGUUUUUCUUCCGCCCUCAUCUGAGCCAGGUGCGAGGAGGUGGAGCCGCGCUGAGGACUUGUACAAAGAGUUCAUCGCAUUCGAGAAGCAGUAUGGGGAUAGAGGAUGCCAUCGUGGGGAAAAGGAGGUUCCAAUAUGAGGAGGAGGCAAGGAAGGAUCCACUAAAUUACAACUCUCUUGACAAUUGGAAAAUCUUCAGUUGUUCUUGCAUAAAGAUCUUCAAUUUAUCUCAUAUUCUGUCAAGCUUUCUCUCCUCAAGUUUUUCCUGACUUGAAAGAAGAAUGCUCAUUUGUAUAUUUAUUUAACAAGGUUCACCAUUGGCAAAUUAAUGUUCAAUUCCAACUUUGUUACUUCGGUGAUUGGUAAAAAGGGAGUACGAUGUCAGUUGCAAGUAACUGAGCAUCAUGAAGAUUAAUGGCAACUUCUUAAGCUGAUGGACAUAAAUAAUUGAAUGUUGUAGCAUCUAAAGUUUGGAGAAUGGCAUCAACCAGUUCUGGGAUCUGGUCACAGAACAAGAAGGAUGGACUCAAAUAAAGGAAGCUGCAGACAGUGUCUGAUCUUGACAUAGAAAAAAAAUUAAAAGAUACUUCACCUGGGACUCAUGCUAAAAGCUUUGCACUCAAGAAGAUCAAGUCGAUAGAACCUGUUGCUCAACUGUGUCUUGAUUGCAAAAUCAUAGUUAAAAUGAUUUUUUAUAUAAAAAGGUUUCCUGUGUGGAAGUGCAUGUGUCACAGAGCCAUUAGCUUGGAAGUUAUAUGAUAUAAUUUUUGCUUAUUUGUAUAUAAUUAAUAUUGUUCCAUGGAAAUGAAAUUUAAUGCAU